rnacentral:rRNA from 1 species
CCUACGGGUGGCAGCAGUGGGGAAUAUUGGACAAUGGGGGCAACCCUGAUCCAGCCAUGCCGCGUGUGUGAAGAAGGCCCUCGGGUUGUAAAGCACUUUCAGUGAGGAAGAACGCCUGGUGGUUAAUACACAUCAGGAAAGACAUCACUCACAGAAGAAGCACCGGCUAACUCCGUGCCAGCAGCCGCGGUAAUACGGAGGGUGCGAGCGUUAAUCGGAAUUACUGGGCGUAAAGCGCGCGUAGGUGGCUUGAUAAGCCGGUUGUGAAAGCCCCGGGCUCAACCUGGGAACGGCAUCCGGAACUGUCAAGCUAGAGUGCAGGAGAGGAAGGUAGAAUUCCCGGUGUAGCGGUGAAAUGCGUAGAGAUCGGGAGGAAUACCAGUGGCGAAGGCGGCCUUCUGGACUGACACUGACACUGAGGUGCGAAAGCGUGGGUAGCAAACAGGAUUAGAUACCCUGGUAGUC